UGGAAAUUCACUAAAAAAAUAGUGAUUUUGAAUUGGAUCUACUAAUAAUCUAGUGAUUCUCUAAACUUUACAUCUUAAUUAGUGGAAUUUUCACAAUUGUAAAUAGUGACUCUUAGACUCACUACCAAAUUUGUGGUUUUGAAUUUGAUUCACUAAUAAACUUGUGAUUUCCCCCUUUCUAUGGUAACUGCUUGUGGCGCCAUUUUAGUUAUCUCAUAAAUUAUUCUUGUGAGUGAGUUUAUAAAAAAAAUCGUCGAUUAAUUAUUGAAGAAAAAAAACGAACACUAAAGUAUAUUUAUUACGAUAAUUUGCGAGCUUUACUUCUUCUCAUUGAGUUGCUUCCUGUUUCGAACUCUGUUAAAACGCCAAAAGGUAAAGGAAAAGGGAAAGGAAAAGGAAAGGGAAAAGGAAAAAAAAGGCUCGUUGAUGAGGAGAAUGAGGACAAUGAGCCCUUAAGCCUAGAUUUUCCUAAUAAAUAUCUGCUCAGACUUGCACCUUAAGGCACUAAUCUCGAACAAUAUGUAGAGAACAUUCGCGCUAACAAUAAAACUAAUGUUCAGCCUUAUUUGAUCUCUGUCAUUGGUCAAUCUCGUCAAAAUACAUUUAUCAACGGGGAUGGAUGGCUCAUAAAUGUGAAAGACGAAGGAAAUCGAUUAAUAAGCUUUGAUUUAUUAUUUAAGAUAUAUUAUGUCUUAAAUUUAGAAUACCCUGAGUCUCCGUAAUUUCUACAAUUUCAUGGAUUUUUACGUUUAUGGCAUGAAAGUAAAGCCAUAUAGUAUUGUAUCAUCGGUUCAUGUUAAUAUUAUAAAUAUUGAUUUAAAUGACGCUAGUGAUGAUGACAUUGGUUGUACUCCAUCAAAUGAAUGAAAAUUGUUUAUGAUUUAUACGAGAAAAUUUACUCUGAUAUCUCCCAAUAAUAAUUUUGUCUAUUAUUACAUAUACGGGUUCAU